GCGACAAUCUAAGGGUGGCGACUAUUGUUCCAGCAAGCCGAAGAUGAGUCGGUUGAAACCAAUGAUAGUUUAGAGUUUAUGGAAGCGGCCACUAAAACUCCGCGUGAAGCUUCCAAGUUGAGAUCUUUGGCAAGGAUAGUUUUACCCUCAAUAAUGGCAUUUAUGGAGUGGACAUGGCCUUCAUUUAAUUUAGGAGAAAGCGAGAAUGUGGAAUG
rnacentral:lncRNA from 1 species